rnacentral:lncRNA from 1 species
CACACUCUACUGCCAUGAUCUCCUGAAGCAUGUGAACCUCCGUGACCUCCCUCACAAAUGUCCCCAGGCAUUGCUGAUGUGGCUGCAUAGCAUGGAUGGUCAGGAGACUGUCCAGUGAAUCUUGCAAACUCCUCCUCCCCCAACCUCAGCCAGGAGAUCACUCCUGGGUGAAGUCCUCCCAUCUCAAGCACAGUGAGGCUGUGGGUUGCAGGCUUCAGGACUGGCAUUCCUCUUGGGUAAAGCUUGCCCAUCUGCCACUCAAGAAGACUUUGAAAGUUUGAGUGGGGACCUCAUCUUAUUUACCUUGUCUUCAGUGCCCAGGAUGGUGUAAACAACACCCAGCACAUGUGUUCCCAACAGGAUCCUAGAGAGGCUGUUGGUGUGCUAUGGAGAAUACCCCAAACCUCUUCCUUGCCCAUCUCGCUUACAGAGUUGAGCUGCCAGCAGAAGCCAGUCCAGAGCUCGCACUCUGGGCUCAGAGAUCCCCAGUGCCUAUCAGUCUAUUCACCUUCCAGCUCAUGUGAGAACUGUGAAGCCUCCACUUCCUCAAAUACCCACAGCACUGGGCUUUUGCGGGUUGUGAAUGAGAGAAGGCAAUGGUCAGGAAGAUGCUCUGCUCUCCCCGGGAGACAUCACCAAAGACACGAGAGGAAACUCUGGCCCAAGCUCACCUGAUGC